CACGUAGGGUGCGAGCGUUGUCCGGAAUUACUGGGCGUAAAGGGAAUGUAGGUGGUGAUGUAAGUCAGAUGUGAAAGCCCUGGGCUUAACCUGGGAAGUGCAUUUGAUACUGCAUCGCUUGAGUACGAGAGAGGAAAGCGGAAUUUCCAGUGUAGGAGUGAAAUCCGUAGAUAUUGGAAGGAAUACCGAUGGCGAAGGCAGCUUUCUGGCUCGUAACUGACACUGAGAUUCGAAAGCGUGGGUAGCAAACAGG
rnacentral:rRNA from 1 species